AUUUUUAUAAACAUAAUCAUUCGUCAUAUGUACUGAAAUCAAUUUGGUGGCAUGUGAAUUUUAUAUAUAAAUAUGCAUGGUAAUUCAAGGCGAUAGCUGCUUUUGUCGAAAUCAAUUUGGUGGCAUGUGAUGGUAAUUCAAGGCGAUAGCUGCUUCUGUCGAAAUCAAUUAGAGUGUUUCAUUCUUCCUCAAUCAACUUUGUUGUUUUGUCGAUUCCACCUCAAUUAGAGUGUAUCAUUCUGCCUCAAUUAAUUUUGCCAUCAAUCAAUUUGUUUGACAUAUGCAUCUCUAUAUGUAUAAUUAAUGUAUUGAUGUACAUGCAUCCCACUAUUUAACUAUUGCAUAUACAUACAUCCCAUUAUAUAACCCUUGUUUGUUUGAGCCCUAUUCUUUCCAUAAUAAUGUAUUUUUGAAUAGCGUAUUGAUGGAAAAUGUGUAGUUAAAAAAUAAAAAAAAAAUUUGAAUUUGCGUGAAAUAUUAUUUUAUUGAAAAAUGUGUACUUGAAAUGAUAUCAAGACACUGUUUAAAUUUUUUUUUUUUUUCAAAGAACGAGGCUCAAACAGGUGCAUAAUCAAUAGUUUCUGUAUUCAUUGGUAAGCACUCUUCUAUUAUUCAAUUGAACUAUGGUGACAGAAGCCCUUGACAGAAUGCAUGUUGCCUUUUCCUUAAAAAAAAAAAAAAAAUGGAAGCCAGAAAAUGUAUAAAAUGAACACGGAUCCGGCCCAAUCUUUCAAACCCAUAUCUCACUACCCUUCCCAUUUCGCACCCGUUCUCCAAAUCUACCGAAGCAGAACCCUUCCGCCAGCGCAAAGUCCCAAGACAAAAUUGGUUUCCUCCAAAUCUACCACAGCAAAACCCUCCCGCCGACACCAAGUAGCUCACUCCCUUCAACGCUAGAACGAAAAGGAAGGCAUUUGUACCCUUCGUCGCUUGCUGCACCAAACCUGUACUCAUCUUUGUCACUGAAAGUAAGUUCGAAUAUGUGGAUUUUCGAAGGAUUGACUAUGGCGCUUAAGUUUUGGGGGUUAAAUUUUUGUUUUCUAAUUUUCUCGUCAAUAGCAAUCGUUAGGUCGAAGGGAGGUUUUUUUUCUUCCAUUUUUUCUCCUAAAUCGGGUGAACUUUGAAAUCAGCUUUGGUUUGUAAACUCGAAAUUGGGUGAACUCUGAAAUCAGCAAUCGAUGUAGUCAGUAGCAAUCAACUUCUGUUUGUGCACUUUGAAUGUUGAAAUUUUGAAUUUUCUCGUUAUGGUGUGUGAAUUUUAUAGAUGUCUGGAAUCAGCUUCUUUUUGUGAACUCAAUAAGAUUGCUUUAAUGGAUGUGAGCUCUUAUUCCUGAAUAACUUUUGAUGUGUUGUGGUUUAUUUUCAGCUUAUGAUGGCAUGGAAGAACCAGGGAGUAUGUCAUGGUUAUAGAGAAAAAAGGCAUUUUUUUGCUGACUGUCCGGAGAAACGGCAUUGCCCAUGGUGCAAACAUGCAUUCAUCAAGUGCUUUGAGGUAGAGAAAGAGAGCAAAAACAAGGGUAGAUUAUUCAAUACCUGUACUGCAAAAUGUGGAUAUUGGGAGUGGUGAAAGAUGGCGAGACUAACAGUGAAGCAAGUGUAAUCAGCGUAACUACGACGAAUCAUGUGAGGAGCAAAGGAGUUGAAGAAUUACCUUGCAUGUUUCAAUCUCAAUGUCGACUAUUUGAUCAACGCGAUGUGGAGAUGUCUCUUAACGUGACAAUACACAAAGGAAGAGCAAAUGCGGAUGGAGAGAAGAAAGGGAAGGGCCGUGAAUGAGUUGUAGUUCUGAAUUUAAUGACCUUAUUCAGUUUUGCAUUUCCGGCAUUAGUAGUUUCAUCACUAUUUAGUUUUUAAGUAAUGUUGUUUUGUAAUUGUGUCGUUGUAGGGGGUUACUCGAUGUGAAUUGUCUAGAUGGUAUUGUCGUUUGUAGUUAUGCGAUGUGGAUGGGAUGGAGUUGCCAUUCAAGGAAUGUGUAGUAUCAACUUGGACUUUGAUCACAUUCCAGCAUCUCACAAUGUUUAAGCAUUGUCUCUUCAUUAUGUAAUUUCUUUCCAUUUCAAUGAAGUGAUUGCAACAGAUUUUUAGUUGAAUGUUUAAGCAUUUUGUGGCUUGAAUUGUACUAGAGCAAAAAUUCA
rnacentral:lncRNA from 1 species